UACAGAGGGUGCGAGCGUUGUUCGGAAUUAUUGGGCGUAAAGGGCGCGUAGGCGGUGCGGUAAGUCACCUGUGAAAUCUCCUGGCUCAACUGGGAGCUUGCAGGCGAAACGGCCGUGCUGGAGUGUGGGAGAGGUGAGUGGAAUUCCCGGUGUAGCGGUGAAAUGCGCAGAUAUCAGGAAGAACACCCGUGGCGAAAGCGGCUCUCUGGAACGGUACUGACGCUGAGACGCGAAAGCGUGGGGAGCGAACAGG
rnacentral:rRNA from 1 species